rnacentral:rRNA from 1 species
AUUGCACGCUGGCGGAAUGCUUUACACAUGCAAGUCGAACGGCAGCACGGACUUCGGUCUGGUGGCGAGUGGCGAACGGGUGAGUAAUACAUCGGAACGUGCCCAGUCGUGGGGGAUAACGUAGCGAAAGCUACGCUAAUACCGCAUACGAUCUAAGGAUGAAAGCGGGGGAUCGCAAGACCUCGCGCGAUUGGAGGGGCCGAUGGCAGAUUAGGUAGUUGGUAGGGUAAAGGCCUACCAAGCCGACGAUCUGUAGCUGGUCUGAGAGGAGGAUCAGCCACACUGGGACUGAGACACGGCCCAGACUCCUACGGGAGGCAGCAGUGGGGAAUUUUGGACAAUGGGCGCAAGCCUGAUCCAGCCAUUCCGCGUGCAGGAUGAAGGCCUUCGGGUUGUAAACUGCUUUUGUACAGAACGAAAAGGCUCUGGUUAAUACCCGGGGCUCAUGACGGUACUGUAAGAAUAAGCACCGGCUAACUACGUGCCAGCCGCCGCCGUAA